UACGAAGGGGGCUAGCGUUGUUCGGAUUAACUGGGCGUAAAGGGUGCGUAGGCGGGUUUUUAAGUCAGGGGGGAAAUCCCGAGGCUCAACCUCGGAACUGCCUUUGAUACUGGAAAUCUUGAGUCUGGGAGAGGUGAGUGGAACUGCGAGUGUAGAGGUGAAAUUCGUAGAUAUUCGCAAGAACACCGGUGGCGAAGGCGGCUCACUGGCCCGGAACUGACGCUGAGGCACGAAAGCGUGGGGAGCAAACAGG
rnacentral:rRNA from 1 species